UUGAACGCUGGCGGCAUGCUUUACACAUGCAAGUCGAACGGUAGAGGGCUUCGGCCCUUGAGAGUGGCGAACGGGUGAGUAAUGCAUCGGAACAUACCCAGUCGUGGGGGAUAACGUAGCGAAAGUUAUGCUAAUACCGCAUACGUCCUGAGGGAGAAAGCGGGGGAUCGCAAGACCUCGCGCGAUUGGAGUGGCCGAUGUCAGAUUAGCUAGUUGGUGGGGUAAAGGCCCACCAAGGCGACGAUCUGUAGCGGGUCUGAGAGGAUGAUCCGCCACACUGGGACUGAGACACGGCCCAGACUCCUACGGGAGGCAGCAGUGGGGAAUUUUGGACAAUGGGGGCAACCCUGAUCCAGCCAUGCCGCGUGCAGGAUGAAGGCCUUCGGGUUGUAAACUGCUUUUGUACGGAACGAAAAGACUCCUUCUAAUAAAGGGGGUUCAUGACGGUACCGUAAGAAUAAGCACCGGCUAACUACGU
rnacentral:rRNA from 1 species